CAAGUCAGGUCUGGUCUACAACAACAGGGUGUAAUUACUGCAGGCAGCUCAUUUCUUUGGAGGAAGUUGGCUAGACAAGCAAUCACUGUUUCAUGAAUUCGACUGAUUUUCAGAGAUAAAGAAGAACAGACAGCCAUGUAAGCUGAAAGAAGUGGUUACAAUUUCAUAAGAUGCUGUAUAUUUUUUGAAGCAAAGAGCAUCUCUGUGCCUUCCUGCCUGGUGUUGGAAUCAGAAGAUAUUCAUUGGAAUCUUGGCUCUGCUACUUACUACCUAUGUUACCUUAUGCAUAUCACCACUUCUCUGAAGUUCAUUUAUUUAACUGUAAAAUGAGGAGGUUGAAUUUGAUGAUCCAUGAAGUCAUAUCCAGUUCUAAAGUUAUGAUUCCCUGAUUCAAUAGGAUUCUCAACUCCUGGCGUACUCUACAGACUUAACCUUAUCUUCAGUCAAUCUUGGGGAAGAAGAAAAAGCAAGAGAUAAACAGAAAAACCUUGGCUUCUCUGCCAUUCUCCAAGAACAGGCAAAACAAGAAAAUAAAGAAGGAGAGAAAUUA